UUAAUUAUUAAACAUGUCCCUCUUACUUUAGAGCAACUCAAAUAAGGUACAGCCUAUUUGACACAGGAUACAACCUUUAAUACCGGGUAACAAAUUUUUCCUCUACUUAGUAGGCUUAAAAGCAGCCACCUUUAAAAAGCGUCAAAGCUUACGUCACAAUAAUUUAUAAACUCCCAUGAACCCCUUUACCCCCAUUGAGAAAUUCUAUAUCCUUAUAGAACCUUUAAUGCUAAAACUAGUAACAAGAGGCCACCCCUCUCUACGAUGUGAACUUAAGCCAGCAAGAACAUAUCACUGGCAUGUAACAGAUUUAAACAAUAGUAACAACUCUCACUAGAAAAUAUUACUCUAUUUACUGUUAACCUAACACCAGAACAUCCCAAGAAAGAUUAAAAGAGGAGGAAGGAAUUCGGCAAAUAUUAACCCCGCCUGUUUACCAAAAACAUCACCUCCUGUCCCCAUAGGAGGCCCAGCCUGCCCAGUGACCCUGUUCAACGGCCGCGGUAUCCUAACCGUGCAAAGGUAGCGUAAUCACUUGUCUUCUAAAUAAAGACUAGUAUGAAAGGCAUCACGAGGGUUAAACUGUCUCCCCCCUCUAAUCAGUGAACCUAAUCUCCCCGUGAAGAAGCGGGGAUAAUAAUGUAAGACGAGAAGACCCUAUGGAGCUUUAAACAUUGUAACACGUGCUGAAACAUUCAACUACCAAGGUACCUCACCACUAUAGCACCCUGAUUACACGUUUUUGGUUGGGGUGACCGCGGAGAAUAGCCCAUCCUCCAUGAUGAAGCGGAUAAUUUCCUAAACAAUAAAACACAACUUUAUGAAUCAAUAAAUUGACUUCCAUUGACCCAACAUUUUGAUCAACGAACCAAGUUACCCUAGGGAUAACAGCGCAAUCCACUUUCAGAGCCCCUAUCGACAAGUGGGCUUACGACCUCGAUGUUGGAUCAGGGUAUCCCAGUGGUGCAGCCGCUACUAAAGGUUCGUUUGUUCAACGAUUAAAACCCCACGUGAUCUGAGUUCAGACCGGAGUAAUCCAGGUCAGUUUCUAUCUACAAUAGAGCUCUUUUUAGUACGAAAGGACCAAAAUAGCAUGGCCAAUGUAUAAGUUAAGCCAUAGUUAACUAUUUUUGACUCACACUCAAAAAAUUACUAACCUCCUCAAUCCCCCCU
rnacentral:rRNA from 1 species